GAGGGUGUAGCCCAAGUGGUAGAGCACGUGCCUAGCACGCAGGAGGGCCUGGGUUCAGUCCCCAGUGCCUGCU
rnacentral:tRNA from 1 species